rnacentral:tRNA from 1 species
AUUUAUAUAGUUUAAAAAAAACGCUACAUUUUCAAUGUAAAAAUAAAUUUAAUUUUAUAAAUA